GACGAACGCUGGCGGCGUGCUUAACACAUGCAAGUCGAACGGAAAGGCCCUGCUUUUGUGGGGUGCUCGAGUGGCGAACGGGUGAGUAACACGUGAGUAACCUGCCCUUGACUUUGGGAUAACUUCUGGAAACUGGGGCUAAUACCGGAUAGGAGCUCCUGCUGCAUGGUGGGGGUUGGAAAGUUUCGGCGGUUGGGGAUGGACUCGCGGCUUAUCAGCUUGUUGGUGGGGUAGUGGCUUACCAAGGCUUUGACGGGUAGCCGGCCUGAGAGGGUGGCCGGCCACAUUGGGACUGGGAUACGGCCCAGACUCCUACGGGAGGCAGCAGUGGGGAAUAUUGCACAAUGGGCGGAAGCCUGAUGCAGCAACGCCGCGUGCGGGAUGACGGCCUUCGGGUUGUAAACCGCUGUCGCCUGUGACGAAGCGUGAGUGACGGUAAUGGGUAAAGAAGCACCGGCUAACUACGUG
rnacentral:rRNA from 1 species